AAAAAGACAAACUCUGGUUUCCGUAUCCAACGUUUGACCGUCCGUCUUAUAUUUGAAAAAAUUAUAAAAAAAAUUAAAAAUACAAGUCAUGCAUAAAAUAUUAAUAAUAUUUUAUCAUCUAACAACAAUGAAAAUAUGAAUUAUAAAAAAAUUUUAUAUAAGACGAAAAGCCAAAGUUAGACACGGAAACCCAGGGUUUGCCCUUCUC
rfam:Oryza glumipatula chromosome 5, whole genome shotgun sequence.